AGCAUGUUAGCUCAGGAGAGAGCGCUGGGCCCAUAACUCGGAGGUCCCUGGAUAAACCAGGACAUGCUA
rnacentral:tRNA from 1 species